rnacentral:snRNA from 1 species
GUGCUGGCUUCAGCAGCACAAGUUCUAAAGUUGGAGCAAUGUGGAGACCAUCUGCAUGCCCCCUGCACCAGGAUGACACGC